GAGGACAGGUGUACAUAUAUGAGCACUUAUGUACCAGCUCCAGGACAGAGGACAGGUGUGCAUAUAUGAGCACUUAUGUAUCAGCUCCAGGACAGAGGACAGGUGUACAUAUAUGAGCACUUAUGUAUCAGCUCCAGGACAGAGGACAGGUGUGCAUAUAUGAGCACUUAUGUACCAGCUCCAGGACGGAGGACAGGUGUGCAUAUAUGAGCACUUACGUACCAGCUCCAGGACGGAGGACAGGUGUGCAUAUAUGAGCACUUACGUACCAGCUCCAGGACGGAGGACAGAUGUACAUAUAUGAGCACUUACGUACCAGCUCCAGGACAGAGGACAGGUGUGCAUAUAUGAGCACUUAUGUACCAGCUCCAGGACAGAGGACAGGUGUGCAUAUAUGAGCACUUAUGUACCAGCUCCAGGACAGAGGACAGGUGUGCAUAUAUGAGCACCUAUGUACCAGCUCCAGGACAGAGGACAGGUGUGCAUAUAUGAGCACUUAUGUACCAGCUCCAGGACAGAGGACAGGUGUGCAUAUAUGAGCACUUAUGUACCAGCUCCAGGAC
rnacentral:lncRNA from 1 species